UGGGAGAAGGAGAGGAGAGAACCAGCCCAGACAACCUGAAGAAAUCCAAGCAGAAGCCUGUAAGCAUAGUGUGAGUGUGACCCUGAGAGAAGCUAAAGAGACAGCUUUUGGGUCUGGUGCUGGCUAAAGAGCCUUGGGACUGUCAGACGCAGCUCAAUGCAUUAGUUAUUAAACAUAAACUACCACCAUAUUGUUUGUACUAUAAUAAUGGACCAACAUCAAGGAUGAGGGAUGCACUGUGCUAGGUGCUGUACAAACAAGACGACAAUCCCAGUACCACAUGUAUGCAGGACUUGAACAUGUUGUCAGGAAAGGACCUGAAGAAAAGCUGCAUAACUAACGAACCAGCUUGUGACAAGUCAUUUUGUUCCAAGCAGAAUUCUCACAAAGAAUUCUUUUGGGAAUGGGGUGACGGACACUAAUUAGAGUGAAGAGCUGCUCCUUCCAAAAGAGGAGACCCAGCAAUACCAGCUGG